rnacentral:rRNA from 1 species
CACGUAGGGUGCAAGCGUUGUCCGGAAUUAUUGGGCGUAAAGGGCUCGUAGGCGGUCCGUCACGUCGGGAGUGAAAACUCGGGGCUCAACCCCGAGCCUGCUUCCGAUACGGGCGGACUAGAGGUAGGUAGGGGAGAACGGAAUUCCUGGUGUAGCGGUGGAAUGCGCAGAUAUCAGGAGGAACACCGGUGGCGAAGGCGGAUCUCUGGGCCAUUACUGACGCUGAGGAGCGAAAGCGUGGGGAGCGAACAGG